UCUAAGCACAUUUGGAUCUCUUAGCUCAUUUAACCCUCGCAAUAACCAUCUGAGGUCGAUGCAAUCAUAGACUCUAUUUACAAACAAGGAAACCAAGACACUGAGAGGCUAAAGUCACCUGUCCAAGGUCACCAAGCUCCUGGUGACCUUGAAUCUACUUUCUGCUGCUGAGAAUUUACCUAUUUUGGAUGCUUCAUGAGACGAUUCCUCUUAGCAAAAGGGCACUGUGUACCCUCCAAGGCUGGAAAUGAUAGGUUUUCGGCGAGGAGUGAAAAUAUUGUGCUGACAGCCCUUUGCCUGUGUAGAGCAGGGUUGUUUACUCGCGCUGGAGCACAGCUUUAUUGAAGCAGAGAGUCAUGGUCCCAUCAUCAGGGUUGCCUAGCAACCAGUCUACGCCACUCCACAGAGUUUCAGAAUGGGCUGGACCACAAGUACCCACUUUGGGGGAUUUCCAGUGACAGUCCUACUCUCACUCCAUCACAUCGCUUCUAAAAUCUGAGUCACAUGGUUCAAAUUUCACAGUACAAAGUGUGUUCUUCAGAUCUGGGGUUCUCUCCAAAAUGGAUAAUCAUUAUUGAUUUUGUAAUGCAAUGCCAAGACCAUCAGUAAGGUAAGUUUAAUUAUUUAUUGCUUUGUUUUUUCUUUAGCGUGGUCUUAAAAAUGCUUCUCAAUUGUGAAACUGGUUAUCACACAGAAAUAGCAUAUGCCAUGCAUCCUUCAGAAUUUCAAUGUCAGGCAUUAUGUCUCUUUCAAAGAUAUUUCAUUCAUUCUCUUCAAUGUAUAUGUGCUAAGAGUUAGUAAAGGUUUUUUUUCUUUCUUUUCUUUUUUUUUUUUUUUUUUUUUUUUUGGAGACAGAGUCUUGCUCUGGCUGGAGGGCUGGAGUACAGCGGCACAAUCUCAGCUCACUGACUGCAACCUCUGCCUCCCAGGUUCAAGCAAUUCUCCUGCCUCAGCCUCCCUAGUAGCUGGGAUUACAGGUGUGCACCACCAUAGCCAGCUAAUUUUUCUGUACUGUAGUAGAGACAGGGUUUCACCGUGUUGCCCAGGCUGAUCUUGAACUCCUGAGCUCAGGCAAUCUACCUGCCUAAGCCUUGCAAAAUGCUAGGAUUACAGGAAGUUGUUUUCGUUAGUUCACCGGGAAGGCAAAUGGUUGUAGAAUUCUUUUUAAAACUUGGAUCCCUUUGGAGUUGGACAGGCCUGGGUUCGCUUUAUGUUAUAUGCACUUCACUUCCCACCCUGUGCUUCAUCAUGUGUAACCUUGGGCAAGGCAGUUAACCUCAUCAAGCCUUCAUCACUAAUCUGUAAAAUGAGAAGAAUGAUGAUGCCCACCAUAUGGGACUAUUUUUAAGGGUUAAAUUCAACUUGAGCAUUCACUACAGUUUUAAACACUUAGUAGGCCUUUGGGAAAGGUUGGCUAUUCUUGUCACUCACACUUGGGAGAGGCUGAAUUGUGUCACCCUCAGAAUUCAUAUGUUGAACUCCUAUUUCCCAGUACCUCAGAAUGUGACUGCAUUUGGAGAUAGGACCCUUAAAGAGAUAAUUAAAGUAAAAUGCAGUCAUAGGGGUAGAACCUAAUCCCAUGUGACUGGUAUCCUCAUAAGAUGAGGGGAUAAGGACGCAGAUACACACAGAGGAAAGACCACAUGAAGAUGCAGGGAGAGGCCAGCCAUCCACAAGUCACGGAGAGAGGCCUCAAAAGACACCAACCCUGCUGCCACCUCAGUCUUAGACUUCUAGCCUCUAGCAUUCUGAAAAACAAAUUUCUGUUGUUGAAGCCACCUUCUCUGUGGUACUCUGUUAUGGCAAUCCUAAAAAAUUGAUACUGAUGAAGAGUCUAUUUCUAAAUUACAUGUUAAACAGUGCAAGAUAAGGAUGUUUCUGAAAGUUACCAUGUUUGUUCUGUUUCUAUAAUUUUCUUGCAUGGGGAAAUAACAUCAACUGCAUGUUCUGUUCUCUGGCCCUAAGCUGCCGUCUGUGGGAUUUGGCCAGCCUGAGUUAGGCUGUGGAUGGUAUACAGACACAAAGAUCAGGCGGCCGUGGUGGUAACCAAGAUGCCCCAGGGCAUAAAAUCAACAGUGUAAUGAUUUAGCAUUUGUUAUGUCAAUACCGUGCUGGUUAGAGCAGCUAGCCUGGGAUAAGCACAUCAGAGGUAAAUCAGAGUGAGCUCAUAUUUAAACACCACUCGGUUAGAACAAUUUCCGUUUUUCUCCAAGCAGAGCUAAAGAUGUUGUU